GCAUAUGUAGCCUAGUGGUCAUGGCAUCUGCCCGGUAAGCGGAAGGUCGUGGGUUCGAUUGCCACCUCUUGACA
rnacentral:tRNA from 1 species